GUGCCAGCCGCCGCGGUAAUACAGAGGGUGCGAGCGUUAAUCGGAGUGACUGGGCGUAAAGGGCGCGUAGGCGGUUAGAUUAGUCUGAUGUGAAAGACCUGGGCUUAACCUGGGAUGUGCAUUGGAGACGGUCUAGCUAGAGUUUGAGAGAGGGAAGUGGAAUUUCCGGUGUAGCGGUGAAAUGCGUAGAGAUCGGAAAGAACACUCGUGGCGAAGGCGACUUUCUGGCUCAAAACUGACGCUGAGGCGCGAAAGCGUGGGGAGCAAACAGGAUUAGAAACCCUUGUAGUCC
rnacentral:rRNA from 1 species